ACUCGGGCUGGGCCUCCUGCUGGGGGUGGACACUGCUGUCUGGUUUCUGGGCCUUCUUGGAUCUGAGCCCAGCUCGUGCUGGGGCUGAGAGUUGUGGGCUGGGGGCCCUCAUGGCCUGGUUCCUCAUGUUUUUUUGCAAUGGAAAUUAAAAAUAAAGCAGUCCUCCAUGGGGGGGGGGGGGGGGAGGGAAUAUAUAGAAAAAAAAAGGAAACUCUUAUACAAGAUUUGACGGUGCUGAAUGAGGCUCCCUGACCAAAAGACAAUGAGGAGAGUUUCUGGAUAACUUAGUCAGCAAAUUGAGGUUGAUGGUGCCCUUAAUUACCACUGCCCUCCCGUCUGUUUUUGGCCAUAUACUCAAAAGCCCUGACCCCAUAGUAUACAGUAGAUAACAUCUCUCUAGACAUGUUGAAGCUCUAGGAGCUGGAAUUUGUUGAUAAACCUCUACUGUGCCAACAAGCCCACAAAGGGUUCAGUUAUCACAUGUCAACUGGCACAGAAAUCUACCGGCGUAUAGUAAAAAUCCUUAGGUUACAUUUUUCAAGUUUUAUAUUAAAAAAUGAGUAUACCACCAGUUUCCCAUAUUUAUAAUUUUGCCAUUAAUUACAUUAAACAUUAAAAAGUCUGAUUGUUGUCAGUUACUAUUAUUACGGCGGUCAGUAUUCAUCACUAAUAAGUUAUCAUAACCAAAGUAAAAAUGAAUGAUGAGCGCAAGUUUAAGUUUCAUUUUAUUACAAUAAAACGUAUGACGUGACGAAUGGUUCGAAACAUUGUUAUUAUUCUAUUUUAAAAAGAAAAACUGUAUUUACUUUAAUUAUUUACUAGGAUGACGUGUUUGGCCAAAGUUAUUCAAUGUGAAACUUGACUUCAUUUACGGUAAGUAAAGCCUCUACGGAAAGUGAAAGUUAAACGUCACGGUAUUUAAUAGUCGUGGAUUCCUGUCUUAUCUACUAUACUGUUUUUUUAUAUUGGUCUAUAUAUCAAAAGUUACCUAAUGGAUAUAUAAGAAGUCUUGUGAUCUGCGUUUUCUGUUCAUUAUGAGAUGAGGUUCCAGCACCUCGAAGAACCCCCAACCAUCAUGGAAACCCCUUGCUGGUGAGGGAGCUUCUGGGAUUGGCUCUGGACCCCCAUGACUGCAUAAGACAAGUGUGAUAUACAGUAGAAGAUGAAUGAACGGAUUUCUGAGUUCUUCAAAAGCAACCAAAGGAGUGACCGUGACUCUAUGCCCCGCCCAUUCAUUCUGUGAGUGACAGGUGACUCUAUGCCCCGCCCAUUCAUUCUGUGAGUGACUGGAGGGUGCGCCUACACUACAGUAAAAUCUUUGAAUGAGUUCGAUCAUUUGACUCCCUGUCAGUUCUCUGUUCUAAUUUCAGAACAUGUUGUCACUGAGCACUUUAAGAAACAUGACUUUAGGACAAUAAACUGACUCUGACCUCAUCUGUCCGGCCGCAGUAACAAAUUGCGCUGAUGCAAUGUGUUCAGUCCGCCUCGGCACUAACGCAUUUUUCCUAUCUACAUCACAUCUUUCGUGAUUGUCCUAUUUUCAAAAACAGACAGAAGAGCCUGUCUAGGUUGCUCUGCUGGGAGUUUUGGAGAUAUCGGCCGAAGAAUUGGUAAACGUACCAGAGCACGGUGCACUUGUUGUGCUAACAAAUACAUUGGAGCUCAAUUUCAUGGAAUGAUAAUUGAUAUUUGUAUACAAUUCCUUCGCCUCUCCCUGUACAAAUCGUUGCUGCUGCUGUGGGUUAUUCAGAUUUUGGAGGGGUCUCCGACAGGAAGAAGGCAGAACCUGAAUUCCCCAUCUCAGCUGAAAAAAGGCUACACCCUACUGGAGCCAGAAGAGUUCCACGGAGUUAAUAUUAAUGCGUCCUCGCAUCUUCCAUCGCCGACUGGCUGGCAAAUGCAUCUCCCUGCUGCAAGAGUGACCCAGCAACAUGUCAGGACGAAAAGAUGACUUCAGCUGGAACACUCCCACCAUUGAAAGUCUACACAACUCCAGACAUGUUGCGAUUCUAUUAAAGAAAGAUUAAGCCAAA